AUUGAACGCUAGCGGGAGGCUUAACACAUGCAAGUCGAACGAGUGGCGGACGGGUGAGUAAUGUAUCGGAACCUGCCCUAUAGCGGGGGAUAACUACGGGAAAGAGUAGCUAAUACCGCGUAACAUUGGAGGGGCCCAGGUGGGAUUAGCGCUUUGGUGGGGUAUAGGCUCACCAAGGCGACGAUCCCUAGCUGGUUUGAGAGGAUGACCAGCCACACUGGGACUGAGACACGGCCCAGAUUCCUACGGGAGGCAGCAGUGGGGAAUUUUGGGCAAUGGGGGCAACCCUGAUCCAUCCAUCCCGCUUGUAUGAGAAGGCCUUCGGGUUGUAAAGUCCUUUUGGCAGAGAAGCGUUAUCUACAGAAUAAGCACCGGCUAACUACGUGCCAGCAGCCGCGGUAAUUC
rnacentral:rRNA from 1 species